rnacentral:rRNA from 1 species
GGACUACUCGGGUAUCUAAUCCUGUUUGCUCCCCACGCUUUCGCGCCUUAGCGUCAGUAUCGAGCCAGUAAGUCGCCUUCGCCACUGGUGUUCUUACGAAUAUCUACGAAUUUCACCUCUACACUCGUAAUUCCACUUACCUCUCUCGAUCUCUAGUUCCACAGUAUCAAAUGCACCUCCUAGGUUAAGCCUAGGGCUUUCACAUCUGACUUAUGGUACCGCCUACACGCCCUUUACGCCCAGUAAUUCCGAACAACGCUAGCUCCCCUCGUAUUACCGCGGCUGCUGGCAC